AUGCUUCUCUCUGACAUGUCUUGUCUGAUAUUUUAGGAGUUCGUGAUGAUUGUCGUCUUUGGUUUGGAGUUCAUCAUUCGAAUCUGGUCUGCAGGUUGCUGUUGUCGGUACAGAGGAUGGCAAGGACGAUUGAGGUUUGCCCGAAAGCCCUUCUGUGUUAUAGAUACCAUUGUUCUUAUCGCUUCAAUAGCAGUUGUUUCUGCAAAAACUCAGGGUAAUAUUUUUGCCACGUCCGCACUCAGAAGUCUCCGUUUCCUACAGAUCCUCCGUAUGGUGCGCAUGGACCGAAGGGGAGGCACUUGGAAAUUACUAGGUUCAGUGGUUUAUGCUCACAGCAAGGAAUUAAUCACAGCUUGGUACAUAGGAUUUUUGGUUCUUAUUUUUUCAUCUUUCCUUGUCUAUCUGGUGGAAAAGGAUGCCAAUAAAGAGUUUUCUACAUAUGCAGAUGCUCUCUGGUGGGGCACAAUUACAUUGACAACUAUUGGCUAUGGAGACAAAACUCCCCUAACUUGGCUGGGAAGAUUGCUUUCUGCAGGCUUUGCGCUCCUUGGCAUUUCUUUCUUUGCACUUCCUGCCGGCAUUCUUGGCUCAGGUUUUGCAUUAAAAGUACAAGAACAGCACCGCCAGAAACACUUUGAGAAAAGAAGGAACCCAGCUGCCAACCUCAUUCAGGUAAAUGUCAAUGUAAUAGGUAGAUGGCAACAUCUGUCUCCAUAA